rnacentral:rRNA from 1 species
AUUGAACGCUGGCGGCGUGCUUAACACAUGCAAGUCGAUCGGUAACGCGGGGGCAACCCUGGCGACGAGAGGCGGACGAGUGAGGAACGCUUGGGAAUCUGCCUAUCAGCGGGGGACAACCCGGGGAAACUCGGGCUAAUACCGCAUACGCUCUACGGAGGACAGCCGGGGACCGCAAGGCCUGGCACUGAUAGAUGAGCCCAAGUCGGAUUAGCUAGUUGGCGGGGUAACGGCCCACAAGGCGACGAUCCGUAGCUGGCCUGAGAGGACGAUCAGCCACAGUGGGACUGAGACACGGCCCAGACUCCUACGGGAGGCAGCAGUGGGGAAUAUUGGACAAUGGGGGAAACCCUGAUCCAGCGACGCCGCGUGGGUGAAGAAGGCCUGCGGGUUGUAAAGCCCUUUCGGUAGGGACGAAAGCUCUCGACCUAACACGUCGGGAGGUUGACUUAACCUACAAAAGAAGCACCGGCUAACUCUGUGCCAGCCGCCGCCGUAAUAC